rnacentral:lncRNA from 1 species
UUCCUUCGCUCUUUCCUUCCUUUCCAUGCACUCAUUCCUGCCGCUGCGCCGGGCUCGUCUCCCCCYGCCGCCGGGCUUGCCGCGAGCACCCAGAAACGCCCGCGCGCCCUGCGCCGCUCCGGGAGGAGCCGGCCGGAGCCGCGGAGCAGGGGGGGAGCAGCCGGGAGAGCCCCCGGGCUGGGGGGGUCCGUGGCAGGCCGGAGGCGAUGCCGGGCGCCCGGCCGUUUCCGGGCCGGCAGCAGCAGCAGCGUUCUCCCUCCCCGGCUGCUACGGCAGAGCAAGGAGCACGGCCAGCCCCGGCAGCACUCCGGUUUAUCCGGGAAUGUGCCGGCAGCUCGGGGUGUGUGGGGGGAACUUUGCUCCAGCCUUGCCGCAGGAGCUGCCGGGAGUCACCUGGGCAGCGCCGGGGCCCAGGCGUCCCGGCACAUGGGAAAAGCACCGGAGCCCCGCGGCCGGCGCCCCCCCCCCCCCGGCACCGCUGUCCCCGCAGGGGACGUCGGGGCUAUUUGGGGACCCCCGCRGGAGGGCACGGUUCUACGUGGGGGUGGUUGCUGGGUCCCCCCCCCCCCACCGCUGCCUCUCUUCCCUCUAUUCAAGGCGAUUAAAACCGCCGUCUGCAUUUGAUCUUUUGUUUAGGGAAAAGGGGGGGGGGAAAAACAAGAAAGGAAAAAAAAAMCAACAAAAGGGAAAGAAAAACGCAAGCCCAGCCGAGGGUCGCACCGCGGAGCCCCCCCGCGGGGGCGUCAGCGAAACAAGGGCCCCGGCCGCGCUCGGCGGUGGCAGGGGGGGCUCGAGCCCUGCAGCCCCCAGGGAGCCCCCRAGGAGGAGGAGAACGGGCUGGGAGGAAGGUCCAGGGGCCCCAUGUCAGGCAGCCGGGGGCACGGCAGGGGGUGCUCCCCCCCCCCAGGGCCAGCCAGCCUGACCCCCCUAAACCUGGCACCCUGGUAGGACCCAGCCCAAGCAGGGGGCCCAGGGUGCAUCCCCAAACCAGGGGGCCCAGCGUGCACCCCGCUAAAUCCGGGGGGGCCCCUUCCCUCUCCUCGCCCCACCACCUCCCGCUGCUCGCGGCCGUGGGGAAACCCACCCCCACACCCCUCCCAAACCCGCAGCUCUCCCCGCCCCAGCGCCGGUGCAAGGGGGGGGGCAGCACCCCACGGGGGCGCGCGGCUGCGG